AGAACGAACGUUAGCGGCGCGCCUAACACAUGCAAGUCGAGCGAGAAGGGAGCAAUCCCUGUAAAGCGGCGUACGGGUGAGUAACACGUAGGUAAUCUACCUCGAGGUGGCGGAUAACCUUCCGAAAGGAGGGCUAAUACAGCAUGAGACCACGUCUUCGAAAGAGGAUGAGGUCAAAGCGGGCCUCUAUAUAUAAGCUCGCGCCAUGAGAUGAGCCUGCGGCCCAUCAGGUAGUUGGUAGGGUAAUGGCCUACCAAGCCGAAGACGGGUAGCUGGUCUGAGAGGAUGAUCAGCCACACGUGGAACUGAGACACGGUCCAGACCUCCGUACGGGAGGCAGCGAGGUCGGGGAAUCGUUGGCGACGAAGUGGACGAAACGCCUAGGACGCGAGGCCGACGCCGCG
rnacentral:rRNA from 1 species